rnacentral:rRNA from 1 species
AAUGAACGCUGGCGGCGUGCUUAACACAUGCAAGUCGGACGAGAACGCUUCUGCUUGCAGAGGCUAGUAAAGUGGCGCACGGGUGAGUAACGCGUGGGUAAUCUAUCUUCGAAUUGGGGAUAACCCGCCGAAAGGCGGGCUAAUACCGAAUAACAUCCUGGAUAUUGAGGUAUUUGGGAUCAAAGGUGGUCUAUUCGAGAAAGCUACUGUUUGGAGAUGAGCCUGCGUACCAUUAGCUAGUUGGUGAGGUAAGGGCUCACCAAGGCGACGAUGGUUAGCUGGUCUGAGAGGAUGACCAGCCACACUGGAACUGACACACGGUCCAGACUCCUACGGGAGGCAGCAGUGAGGAAUUUUACGCAAUGGGGGAAACCCUGACGCAGCAACGCCGCGUGAGUGAUGAAGGCCUUCGGGUCGUAAAGCUCUGUCAAGUGGGAAGAAACCGGUGUACGAGAAUAUUGUAUGCCGCUGACGGUACCAUUGAAGGAAGCACCGGCCAACUCCGUGCCAGCAGCCGCGGUAACACGGAGGGUGCGAGCGUUAUUCGGAAUUACUGGGCGUAAAGGGCGCGUAGGCGGUCCGCAAAGUCAGUUGUGAAAUCCCUGGGCUUAACCCGGGAAGUGCGAUUGAAACUUGCGGACUUGAGUAUG